rnacentral:lncRNA from 1 species
CUGAGGGGCAGAGGGUAGACCAAGCUCAGCUCUAACUGUAAACAUACUGUACAGGGUACCAAAGGAACAAAGCCUGGCUAACUGAAGGCUAUGGUAUCAACAGAAAUUUCAGGGUCUGGAAAAAGGGCAGGACUGUUAGAUAAAUUCCCAGGUCUACGAAUGAGCAAGUUAUUAUAAUUAGGAAAGGAUCAAACGUCACCUAUUCAGUAAUACUGUAACAGAAGACAAAGGUAAUAAUGAUUUUUCAAAGAACUUCUGACAUGCCUGCUCUG